CGGAAGGUCCGGGCGUUAUCCGGAUUUAUUGGGUUUAAAGGGAGCGUAGGCCGGAGAUUAAGCGUGUUGUGAAAUGUAGAUGCUCAACAUCUGCACUGCAGCGCGAACUGGUUUCCUUGAGUACGCACAAAGUGGGCGGAAUUCGUGGUGUAGCGGUGAAAUGCUUAGAUAUCACGAAGAACAUCCGAUUGCGAAGGCUA
rnacentral:rRNA from 1 species